AUGAACGCUGGCGGCGUGCCUAAUCCAUGCAAGUCGAGCGCACGGACGAGAAGCUUGCUUCUCUGAUGUUAGCGGCGGACGGGUGAGUAACACGUGGAUAACCUACCUAUAAGACUGGGAUAACUUCGGGAAACCGGAGCUAAUACCGGAUAAUAUUUUGAACCGCAUGGUUCAAAAGUGAAAGACGGUCUUGCUGUCACUUAUAGAUGGAUCCGCGCUGCAUUAGCUAGUUGGUAAGGUAACGGCUUACCAAGGCAACGAUGCAUAGCCGACCUGAGAGGGUGAUCGGCCACACUGGAACUGAGACACGGUCCAGACUCCUACGGGAGGCAGCAGUAGGGAAUCUUCCGCAAUGGGCGAAAGCCUGACGGAGCAACGCCGCGUGAGUGAUGAAGGUCUUCGGAUCGUAAAACUCUGUUAUUAGGGAAGAACAUAUGUGUAAGUAACUGUGCACAUCUUGACGGUACCUAAUCAGAAAGCCACGGCUAACUACGUG
rnacentral:rRNA from 1 species